rnacentral:sRNA from 1 species
GUAACAACGUUGCUCCUAAAUUCUUCUUCUUCUUGAAAUUGUAUCUGCACAAAUCUUGAGCAAGAUUUCUCCUAAAUUCUCUUCUUCUUCUUCUUGCCAUUGUGUCUUCACAAAUCUUCAGGAACGUGUCUAUUCAAAUGGAUUCAUCGAUCACAGCAACGAUUCUAAGAUAUGUAAUUUUACGUCAUGCCUAAUACUUGUGUUGUUUCAACAACUUUGCUUUGAAUCUUUCAAAUGUCAAAGAAGAAUUGGAAUUGACUCGAGACAGAGUGAAGGAGCGAAUUAGAGAAGCCAUCAAUAAAGAUGAAAAAGUUGAGUCAACUGAUGUGAAGUGGCUGAAAGAUGUUGAAAAAGUCUUAGAAGAAGUGCAAGUGCUAGAAAAAAG